rnacentral:rRNA from 1 species
UACGUAGGUCCCGAGCGUUGUCCGGAUUUAUUGGGCGUAAAGCGAGCGCAGGCGGUUUGAUAAGUCAGAAGUAAAAGGCUGUGGCUCAACCAUAGUACGCUUUUGAAACUGUCAAACUUGAGUGCAGAAGGGGGGAGUGGAAUUCCAUGUGUAGCGGUGAAAUGCGUAGAUAUAUGGAGGAACACCGGUGGCGAAAGCGGCUCUCUGGUCUGUAACUGACGCUGAGGCUCGAAAGCGUGGGGAGCAAACAGG